rnacentral:rRNA from 2 species
CCUUGACGCAGCAACGCCGCGUGGGGGAUGAAGGUCUUCGGAUUGUAAACCCCUUUUCUGAGGGAAGAGCAAGGACGGUACCUCAGGAACAAGUCUCGGCUAACUACGUGCCAGCAGCCGCGGUAAAACGUAGGAGGCAAGCGUUAUCCGGAUUUACUGGGCGUAAAGGGCGUCUAGGCGGCUCCGUAAGUCGAGCGUGAAAGCUCCUGGCUCAACUGGGAGAGGUCGUUCGAUACUGCGGAGCUUGAGGGCAGCAGAGGGAGGUGGAAUUCCCGGUGUAGCGGUGGAAUGCGCAGAUAUCGGGAGGAACACCAGUGGCGAAGGCGGCCUCCUGGGCUGUCCCUGACGCUGAAGCGCGAAAGCGUGGGGAGCGAACGGGAUUAGAUACCCCGGUAGUCCACGCUGUAAACGAUGGGUACUAGGUGUGGGUGGUAUUGACCCCAUCCGUGCCGUAGCUAACGCGUUAAGUACCCCGCCUGG